UGUGUGUUCUUUGGGGACCUUUAACAGAAUGUGACUGGCAGAACGGGUGUUGUGUGUGGAGGAUGAGGGCUGCAGUAGAUGUCGGGAGAGUGAAGGCUAAGGUGUCAUCUGAAAAGCUGUCCAUAGGCUACUGUAGCCAGUAACUUGUUAGGCAAAUGUUGAUACGCGUUAUGAAUGAUUGACUAGGAGCAAAGGUAUGUCUGGCUCACAGGUCUACAUUUUAUCCAUGCCCAUCAGUCAUUUAAACUAGGUUGUUAUCCGGCAUGCUCUCUGAGACUCUGACAUAACAAGAUAUAAUCCGUUUAUGAAUCCAAUAUACCGUUUCCUAGUUUUAUCAUUGAGUGGUUAGUGUUUAGCCAGUCCGCUACCUUGACACUGUUCUGUGAAACGGAUACUUCGUGAACGUAGAUGUCAUGAUUCGCUUCGAUGAAUCGUCUGGAGUUCCGCUGAACUGGGAAGCCACGUCGCUCAUUGGCCAGCAUUUGUUCCUUUUGACUACUUCGGCUUCUGCUAUUGGCUGAGCCGCAGUCAGCCUGCCCGUGGACCCGCCUCCUCCCAGCAAAAAGGACAGAUUCUGAUGGAUCAUUUAAAGGCAGUGUUUCUGUUCAUCCUUCCAGUACGCGUCUCCACCGUUUUUACAUAGUGUUUCAGCCAGCCAGUCUUACCGCACGACCCAAACGGACACCAAGCUCCCAGCGGUACCGGGUGAAGCCUCGAAGUGAUACUUCCUAGCCGUUGAGUUAGCAGCGGCCGCUGUAGACGUGGGCUAGGAAAGGACGGACGACGGAUCCAGUCUAACAGACGGACGAAGAUACCACCACGUAUCCAAUUUACCACCAGAGACAUUCUUCCGAGAACAGGAAGAUCUGUUGGCCAACCCGGCCAGCAUCUACGACCAAUCUACCGAAGCGCAGCUCAGAGUAAAUAUUUAUUGCAUUUUCCUUUUCCAAAUGGGCGGUAAUUUAGAAUGCAUAAGAUAAUGUAUUUACGAUAGCAUAGCUGCUGUUUCUUUGUUCCUAAAUCUUCCCGCUCUUUCAUUCAAGCCCAACCCCCUUUCCUUUGUGUAACCAGCCAUGAUACAGGUUCCGUCCACCAGGACGUUUUCUGUAUGACAUCAUUUGUAUUCGGUGUAUUUGUAAUUCUGUGUGAUUAGUUUAGGUAUUUAGUAAAUAAAUAAUUAAACCCAAUUUUGUAUUGCUGAUUCAACUUGUUAGCCAGGGUUCGUGAAGAUAACCAAGAAUUUACAACUUUCAUUAUGAGACUGAAAAUAAGAUAAGGGUUAAUAUUGACUGCUAUCGAUGUAAAAUAUUACUAGGUAUUUUAAGAGUUUAUUCGGAAGAUAACGGCUCUAUAAACGUUCUUCCGUGGUGCCCCGACUUUCUAGUUAAUUACAUUUACAUGAUUAGCUUAAUCAGGUAAUAUUAAUUAGAGAAAGAAUUUUAUAGGUUAGCAUGUCAUAUCACUUAAUCCGGCAUAGCCAAAGACACGACACCUGGUUUGAAGAGACACAGAAUCAGCAGAAAAUACAUAAUCCUCCAACCAGGAUUUAAGGAAAACGUGGGGAUUUAUAUAGUUUAUACAACCUGAUAGGAUUUAUACAGUUUAUACAACCUGAUAGGGUUUAUACAACCUGAACAUGCUGCUGACUCUACACUGUCUGUCACUGACCUGCUAACCUCUACACUGUCUGUCACUGUGCUGCUAACCUCUACACUGUCACUGUGCUGCUAACCUCUACACUGUCUGUCACUGUGCUGCUAACCUCUACACUGUCUGUCACUGUGCUGCUAACCGCUACACUGUCUGUCACUGUGCUGCUAACCGCUACACUGUCUGUCACUGUGCUGCUAACCUCUACACUGUCUGUCACUGUGCUGCUAACC
ensembl:lncRNA